rnacentral:rRNA from 1 species
CUGCGGCAGCGACACUGUGUGUUGUUGGGUAGGGGAGCGUUCUGUAAGCCUGUGAAGGUGUGUCGUGAGGCAUGCUGGAGGUAUCAGAAGUGCGAAUGCUGACAUAAGUAACGAUAAAGCGGGUGAAAAGCCCGCUCGCCGGAAGACCAAGGGUUCCUGUCCAACGUUAAUCGGGGCAGGGUGAGUCGACCCCUAAGGCGAGGCCGAAAGGCGUAGUCGAUGGGAAACGGGUUAAUAUUCCCGUACUUGGUGUUACUGCGAAGGGGGGACGGAGAAGGCUAUGUUGGCCGGGCGACGGUUGUCCCGGUUUAAGUGUGUAGGUGUGUGUUCCAGGUAAAUCCGGUUCACUUUAACACUGAGGCGUGACGACGAGGCACUACGGUGCUGAAGCAACAAAUGCCCUGCUUCCAGGAAAAGCCUCUAAGCAUCAGGUAACAUCAAAUCGUACCCCAAACCGACACAGGUGGUCAGGUAGAGAAUACCAAGGCGCUUGAGAGAACUCGGGUGAAGGAACUAGGCAAAAUGGUGCCGUAACUUCGGGAGAAGGCACGCUGACACGUAGGUGAAGUGAUUUACUCAUGGAGCUGAAGUCAGUCGAAGAUACCAGCUGGCUGCAACUGUUUAUUAAAAACACAGCACUGUGCAAACACGAAAGUGGACGUAUACGGUGUGACGCCUGCCCGGUGCCGGAAGGUUAAUUGAUGGGGUCAGCGCAAGCGAAGCUCCUGAUCGAAGCCCCGGUAAACGGCGGCCGUAACUAUAACGGUCCUAAGGUAGCGAAAUUCCUUGUCGGGUAAGUUCCGACCUGCACGAAUGGCGUAAUGAUGGCCAGGCUGUCUCCACCCGAGACUCAGUGAAAUUGAACUCGCUGUGAAGAUGCAGUGUACCCGCGGCAAGACGGAAAGACCCCGUGAACCUUUACUAUAGCUUGACACUGAACAUUGAGCCUUGAUGUGUAGGAUAGGUGGGAGGCUUUGAAGUGUGGACGCCAGUCUGCAUGGAGCCGACCUUGAAAUACCACCCUUUAAUGUUUGAUGUUCUAACGUGGACCCGUUACCCGGGUUGCGGACAGUGUCUGGUGGGUAGUUUGACUGGGGCGGUCUCCUCCUAAAGAGUAACGGAGGAGCACGAAGGUUGGCUAAUCCUGGUCGGACAUCAGGAGGUUAGUGCAAUGGCAUAAGCCAGCUUGACUGCGAGCGUGACGGCGCGAGCAGGUGCGAAAGCAGGUCAUAGUGAUCCGGUGGUUCUGAAUGGAAGGGC